UCAUUUCUCUAUACUUCGUUUUUUCUUCGACACCGGCGAUUUCCACUGCGUAAACCCAGAAUCGUCGAGACCUGAUCCUCCGUUUGAAAGCGAGAUCGAUUCCGGUGUAUGGAGUCGCGUCUUUGAAGAUAGAGCAAAUCGGAGUGAUGGAAGAGAAAUAAUGGUGGUGGCGACGAGCCUAGCUUCGCUUCUGGAGAAGCUCAAAGUGGAGGAGCCAUACCUUCCACCGCGAAAUUGGGAAUCCUUACAUUCUGAGAGCGGCUGAUUCUUUCCUCAAACUCGUGCUUCUGCUUCUCCUUCGUCUUCUUCCUCUGUCUCUUAACUGCGUGGCUUGGAUCGGAAACCAAAUAGGGGAUUUGGAAUCAAGCUUGGUUAGGUUGGCGUUGAAUGCUCUGCAAGGUGUUGAGUCUUCUCUUAUUAGCAUAGGGAAGCUUUCUUCUAUUAUGGUCCGAGCCAGCUGACAGGACCACUAACAAAAUUCCGAGCUUAUGGCAUCGGUUGUCAAGCACUGAUGCAUUGGGACAGAUUCUUAGAAACAUAGGCUGCUUUGGUUCUUUGGUCUUUCUUCUCCGUAAGUUCAUAGACCAUUUCACAAGCUUGAAUUUGUGUAUGGAAAAUGAAGUUCCGUAAGUUCAUAGACCAUUUCAUAGACCAUGGUUCCUCUUGGUUAGGCUGCCUUACAAAUGUCGUUCAUCCAAAGAUAACCUUAUUGGAAGUUUUGUUACAUACUACAUAGUUACGAACACAGAUCU